rnacentral:rRNA from 1 species
UUCCAGACUCCUACGGGAGGCAGCAGUGGGGAAUAUUGGGCAAUGGGCGCAAGCCUGACCCAGCAACGCCGCGUGAAGGAAGAAGGCUUUCGGGUUGUAAACUUCUUUUAUUGAGGACGAAACAAAUGACGGUACUCAAUGAAUAAGCCACGGCUAACUACGUGCCAGCAGCCGCGGUAAUACGUAGGGGGCAAGCGUUAUCCGGAUUUACUGGGUGUAAAGGGAGCGUAGACGGAAUUGCAAGUCUGAUGUGAAAAUCCGGGGCCCAACCCCGGAACUGCAUUGGAAACUGUAUUUCUAGAGUGUCGGAGAGGCAAGUGGAAUUCCUGGUGUAGCGGUGAAAUGCGUAGAUAUCAGGAGGAACACCAGUGGCGAAGGCGGCUUGCUGGACGAUGACUGACGUUGAGGCUCGAAAGCGUGGGGAGCAAACAGGAUUAGAUACCCGAGUAC